GUGAGGAAUAUUGGUCAAUGGACGAGAGUCUGAACCAGCCAAGUCGCGUGAAGGAAGACGGUUCUAUGAAUUGUAAACUUCUUUUGUGCAGGAAUAAAGUGGGUUACGUGUAACCUUUUGUAUGUACUGUACGAAUAAGGAUCGGCUAACUCCGUGCCAGCAGCCGCGGUAAUAUGGAGGAUCCGAGCGUUAUCCGGAUUUAUUGGGUUUAAAGGGUGCGUAGGUGGAUUGAUAAGUCAGCGGUGAAAGUUUGCAGCUUAACUGUAAAAUUGCCGUUGAAACUGUCGGUCUUGAGUGCAAAUGAGGUAGGCGGAAUGUGUUGUGUAGCGGUGAAAUGCUUAGAUAUAACACAGAACUCCGAUUGCGAAGGCAGCUUACUGGGAUGCAACUGACACUGAUGCACGAAAGCGUGGGUAUCAAACAGGAUUAGAAACCCUAGUAGUCC
rnacentral:rRNA from 1 species